rnacentral:rRNA from 1 species
UACGGAGGAUGCGAGCGUUAUCCGGAUUUAUUGGGUUUAAAGGGUGCGCAGGCGGUCUGUUAAGUCAGCGGUCAAAGCCCGGGGCUCAACCCCGGCCCGCCGUUGAAACUGGCAGUCUCGAGUUGGAGAGAAGUAUGCGGAAUGCGCGGUGUAGCGGUGAAAUGCAUAGAUAUCGACGCAGAACUCCGAUUGCGAAGGCAGCAUGCCGGCUCCACACUGACGCUGAGGCACGAAAGCGUGGGUAGUCGAACAGGA